AGGGCCAGUGAGGAUUUAAAAAAACAAAUGGACUGGAGCCAUGACACAUCCACUCAGAGAGGAGCAUUCCUUGUAUGUACGAUUGUUAUGGUGUUGGGGAGCGGAUGAUGUCAUCAUUGGUGGGCGCCGUCCUCCAGCUUCCGGAUCCAGCCGUCGUCACGUGGUGAGGUGCGGGGGUUUAAAUGUAACUUUGUAUUCGAUUCUUUUAUCCUGAUGACGAGGAAUUAAAGUCCUCGAAAAAUUGAAAAGCA